rnacentral:rRNA from 1 species
UACAGAGGGUGCAAGCGUUGCUCGGAAUCAUUGGGCGUAAAGGGUAGGUAGGUGGUCUCGUUUGUCUGGGGUGAAAGCCCAGGGCUUAACCCUGGAAGUGCCCCAGAAACGGCGAGACUAGAGUAUUGGAGAGGGUCGUGGAAUUCCCGGUGUAGCGGUGAAAUGCGUAGAGAUCGGGAGGAACACCAGAGGCGAAGGCGGCGACCUGGACAAUUACUGACACUCAACUACGAAAGCGUGGGGAGCAAACAGG